rnacentral:rRNA from 1 species
GGGACACGUGGUAUCCUGUCUGAAUAUGGGGGGACCAUCCUCCAAGGCUAAAUACUCCUGACUGACCGAUAGUGAACCAGUACCGUGAGGGAAAGGCGAAAAGAACCCCGGCGAGGGGAGUGAAAAAGAACCUGAAACCGUGUACGUACAAGCAGUGGGAGCACGCUUAGGCGUGUGACUGCGUACCUUUUGUAUAAUGGGUCAGCGACUUAUAUUCUGUAGCAAGGUUAACCGAAUAGGGGAGCCGAAGGGAAACCGAGUCUUAACUGGGCGUUAAGUUGCAGGGUAUAGACCCGAAACCCGGUGAUCUAGCCAUGGGCAGGUUGAAGGUUGGGUAACACUAACUGGAGGACCGAACCGACUAAUGUUGAAAAAUUAGCGGAUGACUUGUGGCUGGGGGUGAAAGGCCAAUCAAACCGGGAGAUAGCUGGUUCUCCCCGAAAGCUAUUUAGGUAGCGCCUCGUGAAUUCAUCUCCGGGGGUAGAGCACUGUUUCGGCAAGGGGGUCAUCCCGACUUACCAACCCGAUGCAAACUGCGAAUACCGGAGAAUGUUAUCACGGGAGACACACGGCGGGUGCUAACGUCCGUCGUGAAGAGGGAAACAACCCAGACCGCCAGCUAAGGUCCCAAAGUCAUGGUUAAGUGGGAAACGAUGUGGGAAGGCCCAGACAGCCAGGAUGUUGGCUUAGAAGCAGCCAUCAUUUAAAGAAAGCGUAAUAGCUCACUGGUCGAGUCGGCCUGCGCGGAAGAUGUAACGGGGCUAAACCAUGCACCGAAGCUGCGGCAGCGACGCUUAUGCGUUGUUGGGUAGGGGAGCGUUCUGUAAGCCUGUGAAGGUGUGCUGUGAGG